UGAGGUCUUGCUAUGUUACCCAGGCCAGUCUUGAAUUCCUGGGCUCAAGUGAUCCUUCUUCCUCCGCCUCCUAAAGUGCUGCAAUUACAGGCAUGAGCCUUCAUACACAACCAAAUGGUGCCCUUAUGAGAGAAAAAUGUCAUGCAAAGACAUGGACACAGAGAGGAGUCCGUUCUGUGAGUGGAAGCCAAGAUUGGAGCAAUGCAGCCACAAGCCAAGGACUGAUUGCCACCUCCAGAAACUAGAAAAAGUCAAAGAAGGAUUCUAUCUAGAAUCUCCAGGAAAUCAUCACCUUGUUGCUAACUCUAUUUUGGAUUUCUAGUUCCCAGAACUAUUCAUUCCUCUGAGGACCCUCAAGUACUUCAGAAGAACUAAAAAAUGAAUAUCACGUUACACCAAAGAAGAAAUGAAAGCUGCCAGUGUCUUCUGAAGUUAAACAGGCUCCUGUUCUUUGACCCAGCAAUCCAAUCCUAGGUACUUACCCAAGAGAAACAAAAACAUGUAUUUACAAAAAGACUUGUAUAAAAUGUUCAAAGCAGCCUUAUUCAUAAUAGCCAAAAUCUGAAACAACCCAAACGUCCAUCAAUAGGAUAAUGAAUAAGCAAACUGAAAUAUAACCAUAUAAUGAAAUAGCACUCCAUCAAUAAAAAGGAAUGAACUUCUGAUACACAGAACAAUGUGAAUAAAUUUUAGGGACAUUAUGUUGAAUAAAAGAAAAGAUACAA
rnacentral:lncRNA from 10 species